GAUCAACUCUAUGCUAAGGAGAUGUGUCGCGCUGCAUGAGGGAUCAUUUCCAAGGAAAUGCACAACCAAACACCAGCACCAGCACUGAGACCAGCACCCAGAACAGCGCCAGAACCGAUACCAGGACCAUAGCCACCCCCAGAACAACUGCUCCAACAGGGAGCUCAUAGACAUCAUAGAUGAGUAUCAACUAAAAGAUCUAGGCAGGGACGUGAUGCCUCGCUACACCUGGGUGAGCUCUGACGGCCAAUCAAACUCCAGGAUUGACCUCCUCCUCCUGGACCAGACCCUCACAGCAUCAGCAGGACCAACCCCGGAGACCAAAGCUGGAAGGACACCCUUGGCAAGGUGGAAAAAAAAUCUGUAGCUGGCAAGGGCGAUCCCUUUCGAUGACUGGGGAAGGGACUAGUGAUCAAAGCCAUCCUUUACCCGAUCCUGGCCUACAUAGACUCUCCGGGAUGGCUGCGGUGACCCUCCAGGGUAUCCUCUUCGGCCCACCUGAGGGACCUUGAACACCCCAAGAGAGGAACGCCUGGAGGAUCAUCAACGCCACAAAGCAGAUCAUAUGCGACACCAGAAAUACCUAAUUCUUCCACAAACGGGACACAUUCCCAAUUGUCACCGCCCGCAUAAUCCAAAAGUCCAACCAGGAUUACAUCACAGUGGACACUAACCGCCUGGGACAAGACACCACCAACAGCCACUGGAAGAUCACUGGACCGAAGGAUAUCAAAUACAUUUUAUUGGUCGCAUACACAUACUUAGCAGAUGUUAUUGCGGGUGUAGCAAAAUGAUUGUAAAUCACUUUCGCCCCGCCUAUCACCAUCCCUACGAACUCUGCACUGACCACCACGACCCCUAGCCCAAAUUCCCUCACCUCCAACUCAACAGAGGUAAGAAGCCGCCACCUUGCAUCCGACCCCUCAUUUAGCCGUGUGAAAUAAUGGAACUUCCAACCACCAUGACCGCCCUGCAGCUCCAAAGGAUCAGAACUCUUCACACCACAACAUCAUCUGAAGAAAUAACCUGGAGUUGUUUUCAUUACAUUUGCAAAUGCUUUACCCUGAAUCUUGCCCUCUUGUGGAGAACUGUUUGCAUUGUCAUUGUCUUUAGGAUUUUUUCAGCCCUUCACCUUUUCCCCCAUUGCCCCGCUAUUUGACCCACUGACCUAAUGCCACCCCUUUUCUAAGCCCCAGUUAAAAUAGUAUAUAUGUAGUGUUGCAUUAUGUUCUGUUGUCUUAGUUAUUUUUUUUUCUGUACAAAGGCCCUUCCCUAAGAACGUACCCGCCGUUUAGAAACCUUCUGAACCUCCCUGCCUUUUGUUUCUUUAACCCCAGAUUGCUAAAUGUUUCCUUGUCUGAAUGAUAGAACGUAACUGCCCCUACGUCAAUGAAUGCUAGUUAAUGUACUCACUGCCUUGUUGUAUGACUGUCUGCAAGUAUGUAAAUGUUUAAUGCUUUGAAAAGUAAAAUCAAAUCAAGUAGAUUUACUGGUUAAAUGUUUUGCAAAGUCCUUUUGGUCUGUUAUGCCCUGUAAUCAAAGCCAGUUUGGAAGCUUUUGUUAAGCCCUCUAGAAGUGCAAGUGAUAUAAAACACCAAAUAUGAAUAAAUACUGUAAAAUACAAAUACCUUACAACCAACCUGCUUG